UGGAAUCUUAAUUCGUAUCAAAACAUGCAAUUUCUCUCAGUUCCAUUACUUUCCAUCUUCUUCCUACUCCACUUCAUUCUAUGGAGCAUAUGGAAGAAAUUGAAAUUAAAAACCAGCAGAGGCAACACACUAAACCUACCCCCGGGACCCCAAAAGCUACCCAUCAUAGGAAAUAUGCACCAGUUUAUUGGGUAUCUCCCCC
rnacentral:misc_RNA from 1 species